GACGAACGCUGGCGGCGUGCCUAAUACAUGCAAGUUGAGCGCUGAAGGUUGGUACUUGUACCAACUGGAUGAGCAGCGAACGGGUGAGUAACGCGUGGGGAAUCUGCCUUUGAGCGGGGGACAACAUUUGGAAACGAAUGCUAAUACCGCAUAAAAACUUUAAACACAAGUUUUAAGUUUGAAAGAUGCAAUUGCAUCACUCAAAGAUGAUCCCGCGUUGUAUUAGCUAGUUGGUGAGGUAAAGGCUCACCAAGGCGAUGAUACAUAGCCGACCUGAGAGGGUGAUCGGCCACAUUGGGACUGAGACACGGCCCAAACUCCUACGGGAGGCAGCAGUAGGGAAUCUUCGGCAAUGGACGAAAGUCUGACCGAGCAACGCCGGGUGAGUGAAGAAGGUUUUCGGAUCGUAAAACUCUGUUGGUAGAGAAGAACGUUGGUGAGAGUGGAAAGCUCAUCAAGUGACGGUAACUACCCAGAAAGGGACGGCUAACUACGUG
rnacentral:rRNA from 1 species